rnacentral:lncRNA from 1 species
ACCGACACCUUCUUCCCAGUGCGGCCCGGGCUGCGGCCCCGGGUCCGAGGAGGCCCGGGGAGACCCGGAGGAGGUCAGAAGGCCUUCAGGGUCCCCGGGAUGGGGUGGAAACUGAGACCCAGAGAGCCGUGACUUGACUGAUCCCACAGCCAGGAAAUGGUGGAGCCUGGAUUUGAACCCCAGCUUUUAAGAAGAAGGUGCCACUGUCCUGGAAGAACUCUCAGGACAGCAUUAGUGUCUCAGGGAUCCCCCUAAUCGGAGGGGCCUUAAGCCUAAUCAUGAUUGUCACUGAAGAUCCAGGAGGGCUUCCUGGAGGAGGAGGCAGCUCCAUUCUGAAAUGCCAAGGGUACAGCUUUAUUGGGACAGCCAGUGUCUCUGAAUAUGUAGGUUUUGCACAGAGCUUGUACUGCCCCAGGGCCUGUACACUGCCUGUCCCCUCUGCCUUGUGCACUCUUUCCCUAGAUGUCCAAAUGGCUCCUUUCCUCACCUACCCCAAAUCUCAAUUCCAGUGUUUCCCCAGCCUCCCCUCAUUUCAGUAAUCACUCUGCAGUGAGCUAGGAUUGCGCCACUGCACUCCAGCUUGGAUAAGAGAACAAGACCCUGUCUCUUAACUAAAUACAUAAAUAAAAAUAAUUCCCCUCUUCA